ACGUGUUUUGUCCUUGGGCUUUAGGCACAGGUAUUGUUUAACAGUGCCUUUGGAGAAGUUUUCAGUAUCCAGUCUCCUGCUCAGGAAGAAAGAAGAAAGUUUUUGGAGGACUUAAUCAUGAGUGGAGCUGCUGCUGAAGCUCCACUUCAAACAAGCAAGCUGGUGAGGAACGUUGUGCAUCUCAGCCUUUCCUCACUGCAAGGCUGGGCAGACACGGGCAGCACUGCCUGCAGCAGCACCAGCUGAGCUCUGUGUGCCAGAGGAAGGAAUGCGGCGUCUGGAGGAGCAGGAGGAGGAGACCCUGCGUGACUCUGCGGGGCCGUUCCUCACAGCCUGCCACUGACAGACGUUGUGGGGCACUGCAGAGCCCGUUGGUGCGGAGGAGGGUUGUUCUGGAGGUCCCGAUGACGGCACAGGCAUGAAGCAGCCCAGAGCUCGUCGGUGCGGAGAGACUGCGUAUUGCGUUGUGAAGGGAGAGACGGAGGAGGGGUUUGAACAGCGUUGCGCAGGAAUGAAAGAAGCUGGUAAGAGAAGAGGCUGCGGCACUUCAAAGUGUGCUGUGGAUGGGCAGCGCGUUGACAACCCAAGGGUGGCACCAGGAGAUGCAGCGCAGCCCUCUCCAGCAGCAGGGUGCAUUUAUUCGUCUUGCUAAUUCUUGAAGUAGAAGGUGUGUUUAGCUUCCGCACUCGGUGGCUUGUUAGCGUGCUUUGGAGGCUUUUAAGCUCUUCCUGUGUUACUCACGC